GCGAGUCGGCUGGGGGCACUUGCCCCUGGCGGCGCACGGCUCAGUAAUACGCGGUCAACCUACCCUGGGGACCGGGAUAACCUCGGGAAACUGAGGCUAAUCCCGGAUAGGUGUGGGGUGCUGAAAUGCCCUCACGCCAAAAGUAGGCGGGAAAUGGACCGCCUGAGGCCCCAGGAUGGGACCGCGGCCUAUCAGGUAGUAGGUGGGGUAACGGCCCACCUAGCCUACGACGGGUACGGGCCCUGAGAGGGGGAGCCCGGAGAUGGGCACUGAGACAAGGGUCUAGGCCCUAAGGGGUGCAGCAGGCGCGAAGAUUCCGCAAUGCCCGAAAGGGCGACGGAGUGAACCCGAGUGCCACCCGCUGAGGGUGGCUGUUCCCCUGUGUAAAAAGCAGGGGGCAGAAAGGGGAGGGCAAGGCUGGUGGCAGCCGCCGCGGUAAAACCAGCUCCCCGAGGGGUUCCCACGCAUACUGGGCCUAAAGCGUCCGUAGCCGGCCCUGCAAGUCUGCAGUUAAAUCCGCCUGUAGACAGGCGGGCUGCUGCAGAUACUGCAGGGCUAGGGAGCGGGAGGAGCCGGGGGUAUUCCCGGGGGAGCGGUAAAAAUG
rnacentral:rRNA from 1 species